rnacentral:siRNA from 1 species
UUCAUGUUGUCAGCCAUACUGCA